ACACAGGCUGGAGUGCAAUGGCACGAUAUCAGCUCACUGAAGCCUCCACCUCCUGGGCUCAAGCACUCCUCCCACCUCAGCCCCCCAGGUAGCUGAGACUACAGGAAUGGAUAAAGCACGGAGAGGAACCAAGAAUGUGCUCAGAAAAAAAUCCUUCCUCACUGAAACCAGGACUAAGGAAAGGAGAUUCCCUUCUACCAUCCAUGGACUCAGGCUGACGGAGCACGCUGCCUGUCUGUGUCUCUCCGUUUCUCUCUCUGGAACGUUGUCAGAUGUCACGGCGGAGGGAAAAGAGACCUGGAAUGACUUGCCGAAUUUUUAGCCCAUAACCAGGCACUGUGUAAACCGCUUUACCUCAUUCAGUCUUUGCAAUUAUACCACAAGGUCACACUGUUUAGAAGGAGAAAGAAGAGCUCGCUGUGAAAAACGCUCCACAAUGCUGCAGAGCCUUGUGAAGGUGGAAGAGUACUCUCAUCAGCAAACGGCAUUCCUUCCAUGGAAAAUGUCAUUGGGAGGAAAGCAGGGACAAACUACAAGGCAUUCGAUGCUCAACAAA
rnacentral:lncRNA from 1 species